rnacentral:rRNA from 1 species
GCUAGCGCUGUUCGGAAUUACUGGGCGUAAAGCGCACGUAGGCGGUUUUGCAAGUUAGAGGUGAAAGCCCGGGGCUCAACUCCGGAAUUGCCUUUAAAACUGCAUCGCUAGAGUUGUGGAGAGGUAAGUGGAAUUCCGAGUGUAGAGGUGAAAUUCGUAGAUAUUCGGAAGAACACCAGUGGCGAAGGCGACUUACUGGACACAUACUGACGCUGAGGUGCGAAAGCGUGGGGAGCAAACAGG